UGUUUUAAGGUUUGAUCCCAAUUCCUGGGC
rnacentral:piRNA from 1 species